UCCCAAAGCUGUGGGCCAUCCUUUGCUGCCUUUCCAGGCCACAAGCAAGGAGCUGGGUGGGAAGCAGGUCUGUCAGGACUAGAAUCGACACCCAUACGGG